AUCUCUAGAAUGACUAAAGCCUGUGGAUUCUGGUGAGGACUAAUGCUGUGCGUCCUGAGCUGGAACAUGAGGUCCAGUGAAACACAAGCUACACAGUGUCCUCUGGGCAGUACACACACACUGAAGACACCAAGGCGAGACUGAGGGGGAGGCUGGACCCGAUGGCAUCUUGGAGCUCCUGAGCCACUGUGUUAGCCACUACCCAAUAUUUCACAGAUUUGCCGAGGGCCACACUCACAGAAGAUUAAGAGUUGGAAAGUCCUAAGCAAAGCUGGAUAUUAAAAUGUUAAUGUUGCUGGAGAAUACCAGAGCAAAGCUGAAGGCAAUCAUCAGAAUGACAAGGGUGCCACAGGCUGGGUAACUUAUAAAUGAUACAAGUCCAAGGUCCAGGAGCUGCCUCUGGGGAGACCUCGUUGCUGUGUCAGAACAUGGCAGAGUAACUCACAGAGAGAGGACAGGAGCCCACACUUGCAUCCUCGCGCCCUUUUAUAAUCGGCACUAAUCCACCACCACGAAGGUGGCAACCUCCUGACCGGAGCACCUGCCACUGACCCCCACCUCCCACCACUGCUGUUUUGAGGAUUUUAUUUCCCACACGUGAUCUUUGGGGGGACACAGUCACGCUAUAGCAUUCAGCUGAUCAGUGACUGUUCCUGGCCCCUUCAUGUUCCCCACUCUGCCACUCUAUCCCCAAGCACUGAAGUGUCUCCGCAUGCCCUGCACUACCUGGCAUUUGUUGGUGCAUUGUCUGUCUCCCCAACCAGAAUGCAGCUCCUGGAGGGUGGAGACUUGGUUUUGUUCACAGCUGCCUCCCCGGGGCAUAGAAGGGAUCCCAGCAUGUAGCAGGCACUCAAUAAACUGCUGUGUGAGUGAUUGGCAGGGAGACAAGUCUGUUUCCUACCUGUAAAAUGGA